AAAUCGUAUCCUUUUCUGAAAACGACGAGACUUGGGUAUUUUCUUUCGCUUGGAGUAAAAUAGCACGUGGAAGGAAGCAUUCUAAGAAAUGAAAGUUUAAUACGCGCUUGAAUUUGAACGUCGGAUCGGUCUCCCCAUCUUCGAGUUCCAUAACAUGGAGAUAAGUCUAUACGGAGGUACUUUGGAAAUUACGCAACGCUGACAUCUUAAGAGUGAAGUACUAUUUAAAGAUGACCCGGCUUUUUUGGACCAACUUCGGUCGAAUACAAUAACCGAAAAAAAAGAAUGAUAAUUUCUAUUUGAACUACUUCUAUCAAGAUUAUACAAAAAAAGAAAGAAAUUGGAAACGUCAAACUUGAAAAAAAUUAUUAUCGAUACUGGAUAAAGAUACAUAUACGUUAGUAUCGUUGAACAGCUGGAACAAAUGGAUAACUAGGGAGAAUAAAUGGGAAACAGAGAGUGUAGUACAAAUAAGAUGAAAUUAAUAAUAUAUUAUUAUAUAGUUAUGCGAUGAUCAAAUGAAUUAUUGUAUUACAUACAUAUAUGUAUAUAGUAAAUAGGUUUCGUGACAAAUAAUACUGUUUGCUAUGCAUACCAUAAUAAAGUAGUUAUAAUUUGAUAA
rnacentral:lncRNA from 1 species